GACGAACGCUGGCGGCGUGCUUAACACAUGCAAGUCGAACGAAGUGGCGAACGGGUGAGUAACGCGUAAUCAACCUGCCCUUCAGAGGGGGACAACAGUUGGAAACGACUGCUCAUACCGCAUACUGAAGGAGGGGAUUGCGUCUGAUUAGCUAGUUGGAGGGGUAACGGCCCAACAAGGCGAUGGGCAGUAGCCGGUCUGAGAGGAUGAACGGCCAAAUUGGGACUGCGACAAGGCCCAGACGCCGAAGGGAGGCAGCAGUGGGGAAGCUUCCGCAAUGUACGAAAGUCUGACGGAGCAACGCCGCGGGAGUGAUGACGGCCUUCGGGUUGUAAAGCUCUGUUAAUCGGGACGCGGUACCGGAAUAGAAAGCCACGGCUAACUACGUGCCAGCAGCCGCGGUAAUAC
rnacentral:rRNA from 1 species